AUUGCAGCCAGCGCCCGGGAGGUGGGUCCACACCAGGCUGAGCCAGCAGAGCACAAGCCCCUCCCCUGGUGGUCCCGCCCAGCUGGAGCCGCCACUCCACCAUCAAGACAGACAGGCUGAUGCCUCUGCAGGGACUCCCGGAUCCUGCCCUCGGGGAUCAUCCCAGAGACGGCCCCCACCCAGCGGCCAUGGGGACAGGGAGGGAGAGUAAAGGGCCAGGUGUCUGCCUCUCCCCAGGCCUUCACCCCCGGAGGCCACCGUGGGAGGGAGGGACAGCAGGUGCCAUUAUAAAAGGUGAACGGUGCUCACGGAGGAGGAGCCUGGGUCUGGGGUCGUGUGCAUCCUCCUCUGCUCACAGUGGAGGCAUCUUUGGAAGAAGUGACUUAUUUUCUGGGCCCUUGUUCCAGGAGACACCUGCACUGUGAGUGACCUCCCAGGCCCAUCUGAGUGCAGGCCUCACUUUAUGCUGCUUUCUCACCUGGAUGGGAGGACCUCCGGAGGGACCCCUGGAUCCUGCCCUCAGGAAUCAUCCCAGGGACGCCCCCCACCCGGUAGCUAUGUGGUAGGGAGGGAGAGUGAGGGGCAGGUGUCUGCUUCCCCCUUGCCUUCACACUCAGAGGCCACCAUUGGAGGGAGGAAUAGCGGGUGGGGGGGCCCUCAGAUGUCCCCCCAGGAUGCCAUGCGUGCCCCCACACUGAGCUCCUUCCUUCCACAUCUCCUGCCCAGAGUUGUUCCCUGGCAGGCUGAGAUCUUGUCCCUAUGUCACAGAAGGUUGGAGGCUGGUGUCCCCGGCCACCCUGUCUUGCAGUUUGCUCCUCCGGUCUAAGACCCAGGUGCUCAGUUCCCGUCUCUCCCGAGGGCCUUAGAUCUCUUUCUAGGGCCUCUCUGGUCCCUGGUUGCCCUUUUCUGUUGUGCUUCCUGGAGAGCUCCUAGCAUCUCAAGCCUCCCAUUAUCCAAGCCUACUCUUUUGUAAAAUCUUACUCAACACCUGGCCAACAUUGCAAAACCCCAUCUCUACUAAAAAUACAAAAAUUAGCCGGCAUGGUGGCAUGAGCCUGUAAUCCCAGGUACUUGGGAGGCUGAGACAAGGGAAUUGCUAGAACCGGGAGGCAGAGGUUGCAGUGAGCCGAGAUCGCACCAUAGCACUCCAGCCUGGGCGACAGAGGGAGACGCUGUUUCAAAAAAAAAAAAAAAAGCCUUACUCAAAUGGG